rnacentral:ncRNA from 1 species
CAAAAUGCAAUGAAGAAGUAAAGUAGCUUUGUGGAAUUAUGCAGAGAGGAGAUGCCACCGGCUGUAAGCAUCUCUAUAAGGAAGCGGAGUGAAGUUCACUUCGGAGCACCCGGCUGAAACCCUGGGUAAGUAGGUCGUGGCGGAGCUCUCACCGUUAAAAGGGAGGGGAUAUCGGAUAAACCUGUAUCUUUCAAGCGGACCUAUAAUGGUAAAUUGGGUGGUACCGCGGGCAGCAGAAGCUUCUCGUCCCAUGA